rnacentral:lncRNA from 1 species
AAAUAAAUUAUUUUUUAUUUGGAAUAUAAAUGCCUAUUACUUUGUUUUGAUAUUACAGGUUUUGUGCAAAUAUCUGCUGAGUGAACUACUUAUUUGAAAAGACAUCAUUGGUUAAUAUUCCCUUUUGCUCAUUGAAAUCUCAAAGACUACAGGUGUGGUGCAAUUCCAUUAGAUGAAAGAGAUCUACACAUUCAGAAGCACAUGAUUCUUCCCCCUUCCAUGAUUCCAGUGGCCAAUAGAGGUAUAAGGAAGAACCAAGAAACAGUAUUUAAGUUAUGUACUGCAUCCUUUGGCAUUGAUGUUACAGUAUUUCACGAAAGGCCCGAGGAAUUCUAAUUGGAACAGACAAAAACCCAAUACAUGUUUAAGCAGUAAAGUAUUCAUCAGGUCACAAAAAGAGGAGCAAAAGGAGCUGACUCUUUAUGUCAUACCUUGGCCUUAUAAUUUGAUUCUUUGCCAACAUGCACAGUUUUUUUCCAUAGGCUGUGCAUUGGGACAAACUACAAUAAAGCCAUGCCCUGACUGGAUGUGCCUAACAUUUGUCUGGUGCUUAAAGGAGUUGGCUGCAUGCAUGGGAUGGAGAAGGAUUCAACAUUUAAUGGCAGUUAGAAUCAAAUUUUUAACGCAAGAAGGCAGAAGGAAUCCACCGAAAUAAAUGUUGGAAAGUCACCAAAAAUAGUUCUCCAAGUCAGAAGCGGUGCAAAAGCUGCCUCAGCUCUUGGUGGAUUUUCAAUUUCUCCCAGCCAUCUCUGUUUCUCUAAAGGUUUCUGAAGACAGUGG